GAUGAACGCUGGCGGCGUGCCUAAUACAUGCAAGUCGAGCGAAUGGAUUAAGAGCUUGCUCUUAUGAAGUUAGCGGCGGACGGGUGAGUAACACGUGGGUAACCUGCCCAUAAGACUGGGAUAACUCCGGGAAACCGGGGCUAAUACCGGAUAACAUUUUGAACCGCAUGGUUCGAAAUUGAAAGGCGGCUUCGGCUGUCACUUAUGGAUGGACCCGCGUCGCAUUAGCUAGUUGGUGAGGGAACGGCUCACCAAGGCAACGAUGCGUAGCCGACCUGAGAGGGUGAUCGGCCAAACUGGGACUGAGACACGGCCCAGACUCCUACGGGAGGCAGCAGUAGGGAAUCUUCCGCAAUGGACGAAAGUCUGACGGAGCAACGCCGCGUGAGUGAUGAAGGCUUUCGGGUCGUAAAACUCUGUUGUUAGGGAAGAACAAGUGGUAGUUGAAUAAGCUGGCACCUUGACGGUACCUAACCAGAAAGCCACGGCUAACUACGUGCCAGCAGCCGCCGUAA
rnacentral:rRNA from 1 species